UCCAUGAUGGUCCAGUGGUUAAGACUCUGUGCUUCCACUGCAGGGGGCAUGGGUUUGAGUCCUAGUUGAGGAA
rfam:TPA: Bos taurus chromosome 11, whole genome shotgun sequence.